GUCUGUGCUGAGAGCACCCAGUCCGGCCACUACUGCCUUGAGGGAGCACGGGGGGAGGACGGGAUCGGAUCCUCCCACCGCUAACAGAGGCGCUGACCGUUGUGUCCCCGCAGAGCCCCGCUGCCGACCGUGCGCCACCGGUACCCGCUGCUGCCGCACUGGAGCCCUAGGACCGUUUCCCCGCCGGAGAAGUGGAUGUGUGGGGGGUUGUCCCCACAGUCCUGCAGAGGAGUCUGCUGUGCGGUGCCCAAAUGGACAGGAAGGGAACGGGAGGUGUGACGAUGGAGCCGCGCGCCGGUGACAGCGACCAGGGCUGUGCAGAUGGAGG